rnacentral:piRNA from 1 species
AGUUGAGAAAAUGGCUGUCUAACUGUCC